UACGAAGGGGGCUAGCGUUGCUCGGAAUGACUGGGCGUAAAGGGCGCGUAGGCGGCUCAUACAGUCAGGCGUGAAAUUCCUGGGCUCAACCUGGGGGACUGCGCUUGAGACGUGUGGGCUUGAGUGGGGAAGAGGGUCGUGGAAUUCCCAGUGUAGAGGUGAAAUUCGUAGAUAUUGGGAAGAACACCGGUGGCGAAGGCGGCGACCUGGUCCUUGACUGACGCUGAGGCGCGAAAGCGUGGGGAGCAAACAGG
rnacentral:rRNA from 1 species